rnacentral:rRNA from 1 species
AUUGAACGCUGGCGGCAUGCUUUACACAUGCAAGUCGAACGGUAACAGGCCGCAAGGUGCUGACGAGUGGCGAACGGGUGAGUAAUGCAUCGGAACGUGCCCAGUCGUGGGGGAUAACUACUCGAAAGAGUAGCUAAUACCGCAUACGAUCUAUGGAUGAAAGCGGGGGACCGUAAGGCCUCGCGCGAUUGGAGCGGCCGAUGUCAGAUUAGGUAGUUGGUAGGGUAAAGGCUCACCAAGCCAACGAUCCGUAGCUGGUCUGAGAGGACGACCCGCCACACUGGAACUGAGACACGGCCCAGACUCCUACGGGAGGCAGCAGUGGGGAAUUUUCGGCAAUGGGCGAAAGCCUGACGCAGCAACGCCGCGUGCAGGAAGAAGGCCUUCGGGUUGUAAACUGCUUUUGUACGGAACGAAACGGCUCUGGUUAAUACCCGGGGCUAAUGACGGUACCGUAAGAAUAAGCACCGGCUAACUACGUG